CCUACGGGAGGCAGCAGUGAGGAAUAUUGGUCAAUGGGCGAGAGCCUGAACCAGCCAAGUCGCGUGAAGGAUGAAGGACCUAUGGUUUGUAAACUUCUUUUAUAUGGGAAUAAAGUGAGGAACGUGUUCCUUUUUGUAUGUACUAUAUGAAUAAGCAUCGGCUAACUCCGUGCCAGCAGCCGCGGUAAUACGGAGGAUGCGAGCGUUAUCCGGAUUUAUUGGGUUUAAAGGGUGCGUAGAUGGUUUAUUAAGUCAGCGGUGAAAGUUUGUGGCUCAACCAUAAAAUUGCCGUUGAUACUGGUAGUCUUGAGUAUAUUUGAGGUAGGCGGAAUGCGUGGUGUAGCGGUGAAAUGCAUAGAUAUCACGCAGAACUCCGAUUGCGAAGGCAGCUUACUAAACUAUAACUGACACUGAAGCACGAAAGCGUGGGGAUCAAACAGGAUUAGAUACCCGAGUAGUC
rnacentral:rRNA from 1 species